ACUCUUUCAAGACUUACUAAACCACAGGUUCUACUUCCUCUUAAUCUGAGUGUUCUUCUUCUUCUUCUUGAUUAAAGAAUUCUCUGUUUCUGCCAUGGAUUCUGUAUCAUUUGUUGAUUAACAACAAAGACACGCAUAAACUAAAUAAGCUACUACAAGUGUUGUUUUUGCUCUAAAACUUUAAUAAAAUGAGAGGGUAAUUAAGUGAAACUAAUCUUUCAACGGCAGAUCAUACAGCUUCAGUAUCACUGCAAGAGAUUUUUGAGACAAGGAUAGAAGAAAUGACAAUAUUAUGAGUAACAAUAAAUAAAUGUAUAAAGAAAAAAAGAUAAGAGUACCUAACCAAAUAAAAUGUGAGUGGCUGAGAAAUGAUAUCUGCAGAAUUUAUCAGCCCAAACAGGC
rnacentral:lncRNA from 1 species